UAAAAAUUGAAAAGCCCUAGCUGAGCGCGUUCCUUACCUUUGCUCACCACCUUUCUCACAGGCUCACAGCCUCCCUCGUCGCCUUGCCGCAUCUCGCCACCUCACUCUUUGAUGCAACAAUUUUCGACCAUCUGUAUGUUUUGCUUUGCGGCAGUAUUUUCAUUGUUUUCUUGUUCGUCGCCUCUCUCGCCAGUUCCCCCUGCCUCCACUCUUUGAUGCCGCUGUUUUGGAGUUUGGUCCCACCGAUUUCGGCAAUGAUCUCGAAGAAGACAGUCAAUACUCCUUUUCUGUCUCUCUCUUUUUUAAAAUUAGCACUUUUUUUUUUUUUUAACUUGAAUUUCCUUUGGUAUUAAUUUUAUUGGGAUUUUAGGGUUUUGGAUGUUUGGCGGUUGAAAUUCUUAUAGGCAGAGUUAUGAAUAAUAUGAGUAAGAUGCAUUUUGUAGCAACUUGGUUUGAUUUAAUGAUGUUAUGGUUUCAUGGCUGCUGUUUUUAUGUUGAUAAAUUACAUGUUCUGCAUUUGAUUUUUUUUUGUUCUUGAGAAAAUCUUUCACUGCACCCUUUUAUUGAAGUGAUAAGUUAAAAUGACACAAGCUGUAGUUGUACAUGGUUCUUAUUUUUGAAGAUGCUCCAAUAUUUGUGUUGGGAGUGAAUGAGAAGGAAUACACUACGCUACCAACUGACUUGCCCCGUUAGCCAAGGUUCUCUCCCAACCCCACUCCUCUUCUUCUUUCCUUCUUACUAUAUAUAUUGAAGAUUGAUUUCAUGUAAGAGUCACGGAGUUAUCCAUGACAAAUUUGGGAUUGUUGAGGGUCUAAUAUCCGCUGUCCAUUCCAAGCUGCUGAGUGGUUAAGGUGUUCCUUAAUCCUUACAUAUACACUUUUUUAUUCUUUUGUGGAACUUAAUGUAGUAGUGUAGUGUUGAAUCUUUAUGUUACCUUAUGUUUGUGUAUUUUUUUUAUUUUUAUUUUUCUGUAAUUUUCAACUACACAGAAGAUUGCUGAUAGACCAUUAAUGAAGGAUUGGAGAGGUUGAAGAGCUGCUUCUUUCAAUACCAUUCCUAGGAGUAUUGGAGCUACCAAGGUUAUUCAUUACUAGAAGACACAAUAAAUUUUGAUAAAUCUUAUCUGACCACAUCCUAUCUACAUCAAUUAUUUCUCAUGUCACCAUUAUCACAGUUGAAGCCUGACCACACCAAUCUAUCAGGGCAGAGAUCAUGGAAUUCUUGGAAAUGCCUCAAGUCCAGAUUUUUAGUGUGGUUGUGGCUCUAGUGGCCAUUGUUGUCGGUGUUGCCUAUUCUAUUCCACAAAGAAACCAAAAGGUUGGACCCUUUAGUGAGAUGUAUGUGAGCUUUUCCAUUGCAUUUUCCUUCUACCUGGAUUUGGAAAAUAACAAGUCUUUUGAAUCUUAUUUUUGUUGGGCAGGACUUUAAUUGCUGCAUUGUUGUUCUUUCUUUAUUUUGAUUCUGCAUCAUUGUCCCAUUACCUUUUAUAUUGACUCUAUUUAUGGAAAUGCCAUGGUUAAUUUU